rnacentral:rRNA from 1 species
CCUACGGGAGGCUGCAGUGAGGAAUAUUGGUCAAUGGACGCAAGUCUGAACCAGCCAUGCCGCGUGCAGGACGACGGCUCUAUGAGUUGUAAACUGCUUUUGUCCGAGGGCAAACGCAGACACGCGUGUCUGUCCGAAAGUAUCUUACGAAUAAGGAUCGGCUAACUCCGUGCCAGCAGCCGCGGUAAUACGGAGGAUUCAAGCGUUAUCCGGAUUUAUUGGGUUUAAAGGGUGCGUUGGCGGGCGGUUAAGUUAGGGGUGAAAGCCCGGGGCUCAACUCCGGAAUUGCCUUUGAUACUGGUCGGCUUGAGAGUAGUUGCGGUAUGCGGAAUGUAUGGUGUAGCGGUGAAAUGCUUAGAUAGCAUACAGAACUCCGAUUGCGAAGGCAGCUUACCAGGGGACUUCUGACGUUGAGGCACGAAAGCGUGGGGAGCGAACAGGAUUAGAUACCCUAGUAGUC